UGUAAACCAUUUUUAAGAUAAUACCAUAUCAUAAAAAACAACACACUCAAUUCUAACAUAAUCCGAUAAGACCAUAAUAGCUAAAUAUCUACAACUAAAAUACAUCUAGAUACAUUCAUUUCUUGGACGAGUAAUUCCGAACAGAGGGAGUAACUACCAAUGAUGCACACUUGUGAGGUUCCUGCCAUAGAUAUUUUUGCCCACAUUAACCUGGGCCAGGAUUAGCAGUGGUGGUAAGUGCUCCUCACUGAUAGGUACUAAAUUCAAGUGGUGGGCCAUGUUUUGUAGCCACCACUGGUAUUAGGCCAGAUUAUCAGUGACUGGUUUCUGAGUCUGCCCACCACUUACUAAAAAAAACCUAUAAAUUUCCUAGUGUGAGGGGACAAGGAGCAGGUGUCGCGGGAGUAAUUGUCGUCCAUGGGAAGCACCGGAUCUGAGCAGCUGCCACUGUCGACGAGCGAUAGGGGAACGGGAGACCGAUAUAUAGGGUGACUUGAAGGACCCAAAGAAAAUUAGCGGGAAGCAAAGGAACAUUUUAAACAGAAUUAUGUAGUUAUCAGUACAGAUCCCUCCUCUCUAAUCUUUAUCCCACAUCUCUACUCCAACGGCCCAGGAUCAUUUUUCUAUUUUUGCACCUGAAGUCCAGAUUCUAUAUACUGGUCUCGCCCCAGGUCAACUUGAUCGGCACUAAUGAGCUUUUGCCCCAGGAGGAUGAACUACGCCUGAUGAUGCUGCAGAGGGAGGAGACAGUGGGGAUGUUGACGAUGGGGGUGGGUCGUUGGUGCAGAAGGAGACGUCGGCGACAGCAGUGCGAUCGACGAGCAGCCCCUCUGGGAGCAGGAGGUUCCUGCCCAUGCCUUUCACCUGCACACACAUACAUAAAUAAAUAUCCGCCGGUUGGCACAUCGAUGGAUCGUAACAUAGUUAGUGAAAACACUGGAGAUUGUGUCGCAUGCUCAAUUACCUCCUUGGACAAGCUGCACGUGCGCCGCACACACGAUCAGUGCAGCGGCAACGAUCACCCACCACCGGGCGGACGAGGAGGACGAUGCAGCAGCUGGCUUCAACAUCUUUUGAUAUUAACUUGUCGAUCUAUCUGUCUCGACUGCAUGUGGACGCAUAUGCUUGUAUGUGUAUAUAUAGGCAUGUAGUCUCCGUCUCCUACAUGCUCCGGC
rnacentral:lncRNA from 1 species